rnacentral:lncRNA from 1 species
UUUUUUUUUUUUCUUUUUGCCAUUUCUAGGGCUGCUUCUGCAGCAUAUGGAGGUUCCCAGGCUAGGGGUCGAAUCGGAGCUGUAGCUGCCGGCCUACACCAGAGCCACAGCAACGCGGGAUCCGAGCCGCAUCUGCAACCUACACCACAGCUCAUGGCAACGCCGGAACCUUAACCCACUGAACAAGGCCAGGGAUCAAACCCACAAUCUCAUGGUUCCUAGUCGGAUUCGUUAAACACUGCACCAUGACAGGAACUCCGACAACUGAUUUUUUAAUCAGGUAAUGUCGAUCAGACAAUAUACAAUAUAUCCUGGAACCAAUCCCACCCCCACCCCCCAUGUAUACUGAUGGGGGACAGUACAUUCUCUCAGUUACUUGACAGUCCGAUAGGGUCAUUCUUCUGCUCCCAACUCGACUUCCUCACCUUAAAACCUAGGGAGACAGUGGAUACAAAUGACCUCAUGGCACCCAACUCUGUCACAUGCCAGGUAGAGGAGUGAGGAGAAGAGAGUCAUAUGUCACAUGCCCAGCCAGGGCCAGGGUGGUACCUUGGCCCUAGGUGGUAUCAAGACCCCCACACCAUGUUCUCUCCCUUGAAAUAGCCUCUUAUUCUGGCACACUACCUAGAAAGUGUCCACAAGAGGUAUCACAUCCUUCCAGGUUUACUGCUUCUUUAGCCUUUUCUCUCUGCCUAGAGAAGCUCCACUCAUUGUUUCCCUACUUUUUUAGGGGUUUUGUUGGUGGUGGUAGUGGUGGUUUGUUUUUGUUUGGGGGCUGAAUUACCCAUGGUGAUUAACGCUCUCCUUGUUAUCAUUCCUUGGAACUCCAAAGUAUUGCCAAACUGUUGGUUUUUUUGUUUUUUGUUUUCUCCCACCAAGGAGGAUUAGAUGAUGUUUUGCUCCCAAAUGUCCUCUAAAAUGUUGGAUUCUUACCUAUAACUACAUCUAAAACCCAGAACCUAACCUAAAUCCCAGAUGGAAAAAGUAGUCAAAACACUAUAUUUUAAGCCCAAACUAGUUAAAAUGCAUUUUGCCUCCAGCAACAGAAAAUCUGACUUAUGAGAAGUUGUUUAAUUAUCUUACACAACAUGAGUUCUGGAAAGAGGCUGUUACGGAGUUGUGCAGGGGUUCAAAAAUGUGAGGGUGCUGGGUCAGCAUUUUGUUUCUCUUGACCGUUGCAUCACGCUUGCAAGACAGCCACAGCCACGGCAGACAUUAUGCCUGCAUGCUAGCAUGCCAAGCAUGGAAGGAGGGGAGAGGGAAAAAAGGUCUGCUCUCACAAGGAUCUAGCCUUUUAUGUGAAAUCGAAAUAUUUUCUAGAAGACUUCUCCUUUCCUUUGAUUAGCUAUAAAAGUCUCAGAGACACCCCUAGAUGCAUGGAAGCUGCCAAGAGAGUAUCUGUCAAAGCAGAAUGAGAUGACCACGCUUGGCUCAUCUUAGUCACCAUGCAUCCUCCAGGGCUGUCAGAGGAACCUACCUUCCCCUCCUUAUCCCUCUGUUAAUAGAAUCCAGGUUCCGUUAGCAGGGAAGGGAUGGUCAUAUGGCUAUUAUAUAGGCAAAGUAUGCCGCAAGCUAAAUUUACAAAAUAAAUGCGUUAGUUAUCUGAAUGAGAUGGAUUGCACCCAAGAGUUCUGAAGGAAUUCAAGAAUGAAACUGGCCAAAAUAUGUAACAUACUCAUAUAAACGGCCACUGAUUCUAAAGACUGCCUUGCUAAAAAUGAAUCCUCUAUUCAUAAGAACUCCAAGGUGGAACCGAAGAAAUGGCUGAGAGAGUCUAUAAGAAGAAGAUGGGAGCCACUGCGAGCCCAAUUGUUUCAGUGACCCUUGUAAGAAGAGGUUUUCCUCACAACUGUUUAGAGUCACUAUGGAUAGAACAGGCUAACACUUACGUUAGUGAUAAUGGGUCACUUAGCAGAAAUCGGAGUGCAGGCUGGGUAGAGCAAACCUGAGAGGGUGGGUAAGGGCAUGGCAGUUACAACAAGAAAAUGGUGAAGAGAAAUUCAAUACACAACUCAACAAGACCAUCAAGUGUGUAAACAAUACCAGACUUAACUGCAAGGAGGCACCAAGCUGGGUUGUACCCUGAGGCAGAACGAGUAAGAACGUCUCACCAAGACCAGAUGUGCUCUGGAAAGGCAGGAAGAAAACAGAACAUCAAUAAAGCACUGCAUGAAAAGGCUUUAAAAAGGAUACUAGUGCAAGAUUCCUGGAUUUUGAAUGAAGAGUCUCCCAAAGAGAAUUUUUAGGGCCAUUUCAUUCAAAUGUAGCACCUAUUUUAUGAAAACCAGCUGGUCACCCCGAGUCAGUUAAGGCAAUUAUGAACUGUCUGUGCAAGACUACAUACAGAAGUGAGUGUACAUACAUGUGUGAAGAACCGAACCUCUGGGAGUAACUUUUAAGGACGAAAAAAUCUCCUGAACAUCACAAUUCCACAUCUGUUGAUGAUUUGUCUCAACUCCAUCUCCCAGAGAUAUAACAUUUAUCAAAGUAUUCAUUUUAAUAUGUGGUUAUAAAAUCUAAGCAUCCUUAUUAAUAGGAAAGCAACAUGGUUCAAACAAAAGAAAACACACGUCUAUUUGUUAAAACUCUUUGAGAAAGAAGGAAUCUGAAUAAAGAGGAACAGAAUUUCUUCCUCAUUAAUAAUAGUUUCUCCAUGUAUUUUUUUUAAUCUAUUGAAUGAAUUGUGAUGGAAUCAAAGCAAUAAUGUAGGGCUGGAGAUUCAUAUAUAAAAAGCUGCUUAGGGAACGGUGUGCUUAAAAAGUAUCUCUGAGUGGAGAAGCAUAAUAGGAUGAGCCUGGCCAGUGCUGUUCAGCAUCUUUUCCUUAGGGAAAAGGACACUGGUGUGUCUCACAGGUGACACUAAACUGGUAUGGGGAGAGAAGACAUAAGCACUGAGAAAAAGAUACAAGAAACUCUUAUAAACCUAUGCAACUGGCCAAAGUAAAAAAGAAGAGUGACUCUUAAUGAAGGUAAGUUAAUAGCGUGAUGCAUUACAAUAUAAACAAUACAAACCUCCCAUGUGGCGGGAAAGACUGAGUUUUAGUUAAGAAAGAAUGAUUUCCUGAGGACACCUGGCCAGUGUGCUGCUAAGGACCAAGGUCAGUAAAAUGCUGAUCAUCAUCAGAAUAUACAUUUGAACUGGGGCAGAAAGGUACACCUUUCCUUUGUAUAAAUGAUAACAUUUCAGUUUCUUACAUGCAGGGUUCGACUCCGUCCCUAAGAACUAUACAAUAGAACCGGAGUUUCAGAUAAGAGCAGUUAAAAUGGUUUCUGGGAUAUUUAAGCUGCCGUAUUAAGAUAAAAUUCCAAGAAGCUUGAGAAGUUUUUGUUUGUAAAACAGAGACUCCUCACCCUUUUUGGUCAUCUAGUGAGCCUAUGGAUGCCUUUGAGGGAUACUGCUUUUAAAUGUAUAAAACAGAAUACACCAUUUACUAAGAAAGCCAAUUAUGAUGCUCUCCAGUUUUCAAGAUAUUCUAAAAAACAAACUGGUGACAGAGCAACAUAUAAACUUCUUUAUUAACACAGUAAGUAAUAAGGUCUUAUAGUCUAUGGUAGUUGUAAUAACUACUACAGUUUCAGAGUAGUAAUGAGCAUUACUGAUAGUUCUCUGUAUCUUCAACAAUUAUAACAUGAUAUAAACAUAUGUGUGAGGCCUGUUGGUGGUAUCUGUAAUGGAAUAAAAUCCUAAAUUUCAAUUCGAUGUUAAAGAUGUAAUUUUUCCCGUCCAAGUUCAUGAAUCCCUUGGGUUUCUCCUGUAGGCCCCUUGAGGGUUUGGGAACUCAAAGCUAAGUAUCCUUGCCAUAACGGCAAGAGCUGAGAAAUAAAGGACCAAUGACUAUCAUGCAAUGAAUAAUAGAGAUAAACUUGCUUCAUGUCUACAUACAUGAAGAUGGGUGGGAUAAAUGCAUAAGAAAUGUGGUACAGGGAGUUUAGGACCCCAAAAGAAGAAGUUUACAACAAGCCUUAUAAAGACGUAUACCUCAUUAUAUCAGUAGGUUGUACUGACUAGAAAAUAUUUUUAAAAGGUUUGGACAAACUUGUUAAUUUUAGCCAUAAAUGGCCCCUAAGAGAGAAGAGCUGGAGACACUUAACCUUUAAGGUUGACAUCAGGGAAGACAAUAGAAUUUUCAUUUGAAGAUAUAAUUUGAUGAAGAAAAUAAAGUUGGAGACAGUUGGGUCUGAACCACUAUUGUAACAUUUCUCUCCUCCUUUAAGAAUCCACCCUGUCCUCACGAAUCAGUUUUUUUUUUCCUUUCCUCUGUACACAGAUAAAACAAAUUACAAUACAACCCACAAUGAUUACAUAUCUGUAUUUUACCACAGACCUCAGCAUCUGGUACUGAACACUAAAAACUUGCACUCCAGUUGUUGAUUUAAGGUGUGUUCUAUGCAUCACAAAAUAUCAUAUUUGCGGUGAAGCAGGUUAAAGGUGAUUUUAGGGCCCAGAAAAGAAGUUUAAAGGAGCAAAGAGGUAGGGUCAUAGUGUCAAGGGUAGCAAGAGUUCAAAGUAGUUUUUAGAAUCUCUGAGAAUCAAUGUCCAGGGGUCACUUAACAUAGAGGCGAGUCAGCACCUUGGACAGCUCAGUCACAGGUGUGAUUCUCCCCACUGCUUUUAUUCUAACAGGAACUUAAACCCAUGUGAAACACCUAUCUGGGUUUGCCUGGCUCCACCCUGCCCUUCUUAUCUAGCACAUACUCUACUCAAGAAUUUCUUUUUGUUUUUAGGGCCAAACUCGUGGCAUACGGAAGUUUCCAGGUAUAUCACUAGUGUGCUGCCCCCCCUCCACCCCAAAAAAGCAAUGAGACUUCCUCAAGGUCAAAUUACUAUGAAGUAGCAAAACCACAUAUUCUGGUGUCAAGUCUAGUGAUCAGUAUGUGAUACUUGCUGCCUGUUCAUCAAUGUAAUUUUUUUUCUUUUUUAGGGCAUAUGGAAGUUCCUAGGCUAGGGGGUGAAUUGGAGCUGCAGGUGCUCAGCCACAGAAACACUAGAUCCAAGCCACAUCUGCUACCUACGCUGCAGCUUGUGGCAACACUGGAGCCUUAACCCACUGAGCGAGGCCAGGGAUCAAACCCACAUCCUCAGAGAAACAAUGGUGGGUCCUUAACCUGCUGAGCCACAACAGGAACUCCCCAUAAAUGUCAUUAAAUGAACUUAAUAUUUUCUACUUCUUUCUAGUUUUAUUUCAUUCAUUUGAUUAAUAUUUAUUAAAUGCCAGCUGCUGGAUUAAAAAAAAAAAAGAGUUGAAAAGAAUGGGCCACUGUCUUAAAGGAGGUUUCAGAUAAUAAGAAAAACAAUAAUAGUGAGAAGAGACAAAUAUAAUACAGUAUGAUUCUAAUGGGAGAGGAAUUACUCUUGAAGUAGGACUAGAACUUGGCAGCCA